rnacentral:rRNA from 1 species
UUCAUAAUAUACCCACAUAAUCUACACAUUAAUUUGAAAAAAACAAUAUAAGCCUCCAGUAAAGCUCAAUGGGGUCUUCUCGUCUUACAAUUUGCACGUGGCAUCUUCACCACGAUUUCAAUUUCAUUGGUUUUUAUCUUGAGACAGUGGGGCAUUCGUUACGCCAUUCAUACUUGCCAACAAUUAAUUGGCUAUUGAUUGCGCUACAUUAUCACGGUCAGAUUUACCGCGGCCAUUUAAUUGUCCUUAAUCAUGUUACUUCAUUAAUAACAUGGGUUGAGAUACAACCACUGGGCAGGCCUCACCUCCAAUGCUUCAGCCUCACAGGCCUUUGGUGGAAGCUAUGUUUUUGGUAAACAGUCGACACCCCCUCUUUUCUGAAGCCUAAUCGGCGCAAUAAAAGGAUUGCGCCGAUUAGGCACCCCUUCUCGCUAUCUUACAGGGUCAUUUUGCCGAGUUCCUUAAGAUAAAUUAUACCAUCACUUUACGCCCACUUGUGUUAGUUUAAGUACAGCUUAUUAAAUUAAACUUUUCACUUAUUAAUUUUUUCCCAUUGAUAUACUCUUAGGGGCUGUAUAACCCAAUCAUGAUAAUCUCUACUAUUGGAAACCUAGGGCUAUGACAGUGAUUCUCACACUGUUGUUUACUCAUGCUCGCAUUAUCACUUCUGAUAAACUUUCGUAAUUUAUAAAUUACAGAACGUUCUGCUACCAUUUAUCCAGAGUCUCGGUUAUCUUAAAAUAAACUUAAGCCACCAAAAUUUUAGAAACCCAUAAAUUUAUCAAGUGAACUGUUACGUAAUCUUUCAAAGAUGGCUGGCUCCAAGCCCACUUUCUUGUUGUCUCGAUGUAUAGGCUCCUUUUACACUUAGUAAAUUUUUAUGACCUUAACUUCUGGUCUAGGUUGUUUCCUUUUUGACAAGGGACCUUCUCGCCCGCUGUCUGUCUAUCAUCUUUCUUCUUACACUUUCAUAGUUUGGUUGAAUACACCCUAUAGAUGUCUCCAUUCAGUGCUUUACUCUGUAAGAAUAGUUAGAUGACGCACUACUUAAAUAGCUUUCGCAGAAAACCAGCUAUUUCCUAGUUCGAUUGGCUUUUUACCCCUAACCACAGAUCAUCUGAGAUUUUUGCCACAAUCACCAGUUCGUUCCUCCACUUCCUAUUAGAGACGCUUCAAACUGCCCAUGGUUAGCUCACUAGGUUUCGGGCUCUAUUUGACUAAAGCUCUUAAUAUUAAAACUCAUUUUCACUUCACCUGCGUUUAUAUACUUAAGUUUGCCAAAUAUUUUUCUCACGAACCCAUUAUGCAAAAGGUACGACGAAUUUCGUCUGCUUGUAAAUAACAAAUUUCAGAAUCUAUUUCAUUUAAGUAUAUAUUAUCUCUUUCAACUUUCCUUCACAGUACUCGUACACUAUCGGUAUGUUAUAAGAUUUAGUUUUAGAUGUAUGGACCACCUGUCUUCAAAUGAUUCUACUCAAAUCAUGCAUUUUAAUCAUAACAAUCUACGGGACUGUUAACCUCUAUGGGUUCGAUUAUUAUGAAUAACCUGGUAAACCGUCGCAAUUUAAUUGCGACUAAGGCUCACUUAGAUCUUCUCCGCCUUCGCUCACCACUACUGACGGAAUCUCGCUUGAUUUAUUUCCUCUCUAGUACUGAGAUGUUUCAGUUCCUGAAAUUUUUAUUUAUAAUAGCGUUUUCGAUAGGAACUCUGGCUUCAUUUUUUCUUCACCAGCUUUUCGUAUUUUAAUAACGUCCUCAUUAUAACAUCCUAGUCAUUCAUUUGUUAUUUAUUUAUACUAACCUUUAUUUACAAGCUUAGUAAUCUUAAGCAAAUCUUAAUAUUAUUCACAUAGACCCUAUCUAUGUCUUAUUCUCAAACAAUCUUUAAUCAUAUAUAGAAUCUAAUACUCGAUUUUAUAUAUAUAAAUAGAAACAAAGAAUGAUAUUUUACUUCUCCCUUGAGAUGCAUUCAGGGAUUAUUGAUCUAUAUCAUAGCUACCCAACAACCAUAAUAAUUUUUUAGAUUCCAUAUAUGGUUUCUAACUCCCGGUAAUUGGUACACCAGCGGAUACCUAUCACUCGGUCCUUUCGUACUAGAGUGUAGUUAUAUCUAAUGUUUCCUAAACAAAUUGUAGAUAGAAACCGACCUGGCUCACGCCGGUCUGAACUCAAAUCAUGUACGGUUUUAAUGGACGAACAGUCCAACCCUUAGAAGCGGCUGCACCUCUAGGAUACCGCAAUUCAACAUCGAGGUCGCAAACAUCGUCGUCGAUAUGAACUCUCGAACGAUAUUACGCUGUUAUCCCCAUGGUAACUUUUAUUCGUUGCUCGUUAGCAACCCCACUCUUAACUAACGGGUCAUUAUAACCCACGGGGUAUUUUCCCGUGUCAGCUCGGGUGUGCCCCUUACUGUCAGGCUUUUUUACUUUAUACUAUUAUAUUAUUAACCUUAUGUACACCUUCGUUACUUUUUAGAAGGCGGUCGCCCCAACCAAACUGUCCGGCGUAUACUCGAUCCGUUUUUUUUUUGAAUUAACGAGUGGUUU